AAAUAUUCAACUGGAAUCCAACUGGUUCCAACUGGUAUUGACUGGGACCAACUGGUUCCAGUAGGAAACCAACUGGUCCCAGUUACAGGUCAACUGGUCCCAGUUAGAAACCAACUGGGAUGCAACUGGUUCCAGUUGGGAUCCAACUGGAAUCAUCUCCAGUUGUACUGGAAGCAAAUGGUCCCAGUUGGGAUGCAACUGGAACGCAACUGGAACCAUUACCAGUUGUACUGGAAGCAAAUGGUCCCAGUUGGGAUCCAACUGGAACCUGAACCAGCUGUACUGGAAGCAAGUGGUUCCAUUUGGAUUCCAACUGGAACUUUGACCAGUUGUAUAGUAGCAACUGCUAGUAGUUGGGAUCUGUACUCGUACAACUGUUAACAUAAAAAAUUAAGCGAUAUAAUGCUGCAACGAGGGGUACAUUAGAGAUGGAUUUUAACCGACACACGAUUUAUAUAUAUGGAUAACUGAAUCGUGCAGGAUCCUGUUGCGUAAAUGUGGAGCACAUUGCCUUGACACGUACGCGUGCUUUAGUUUCAGCGCACUAAAUUUGUGAAUGUUGGCCCUAAUCUUUAGUUGUCCACAGAGGCAUAUUGGUUCGUCUCAUGACGUUACCGCUGCGUGCCUGACCGACACCGCGGUGCUAUUGUAGUGUUGCACCAACUUUGUGCCACUGACGUUGUUGCCUAGCUAAGCGCUAGUGAGCUGUAUGGCAUUUGGUGGAAACAACUGGUGUUUGCAGCACGGCGGUUACUUCCCUACGAGAAAAGAAAAAAAAAAAAGAAAAUGCUCCGCAGCGCAUAGAGCUACACAACGCACGCUUACUACGCGUCCCAUGGUUAGACUAGUACACUCUUCCACACGGUGAAAGAAUAUUAUCAUAUUAUGAUGCUUACACCGACCGUGCUCUACCAUGACCACAACAACCGCCAUGUUGAAAAGAAAAACAUUUUAGUUGCGUAUCUUCUCAUGAUCGGCUGAAACCUCUAUGGCUCAAACAAUAAUAAUCAUAUAGCAAGAAAUUUAAAUUAUGUCAAAUAAAAGUGAAAUAAAAUUGUUACCUCACAUAGAUAGCGUAUUAUUUAUUAAUAGCGAGAAACUUCACAAAUACGAAACUGUGGAAACGUGACGGCGUAGUUCGGCAGCCAUAUUAACAGCGAGCUGUUCGAGCGAGGCAUGGAGCGAAGCGUACGCGGUUAUGAAGAUUUUUCUAGAGGAACCUGUGGUGUCAUUGCCUGCGUAACCUCAUUUAAGUAGUAUUAGUGUUGGACGUUUUCACCCUUGGAGGACGGCAUGAUUACAGGCCAAUGAAUGGCACCUGCUUUUAACACCGACUACGCGGCUUUGUGGACCCAUCGUGUGUGGAAUGACGUGCGCACUUUUCCCUGCUCUUGAUUCUGCCAUUUGGAGAUGGUGAUGUGCAAGAGUUACGAAAUGUGUAAACGUGUGCAAGGUCAUCAAGGGAGCAUUCAAGACGUUUCAUCGCUAAACACAAGCUCAAGUGUUCUAAUAAAUGUCAAAUUUCAACACCAA